ACAAAACAAAAACUGGGAAAUCUGGAGGAAAUGGACAAUCUUCUAGACAGAUACCAGAUACCAAAGUUAAGUCAGGAACAAAUAAACCAUCCAAACAACUCCAUAACUCCCAAGGAAAUAGAAGCAGUUAUUAAAAAUCUCCCAACCAAAAUGAGCCCAGGACCAGAUAGAUAUACCACAGAAUUCUAUCAGACCUUGAUAGAAGAUCUUAUACCAAUACUGUCCAAAAUAUUCCACAAAAUAGAAACAGAUGGAGCACUACCCAAUUCCUUCUGUGAAGCCAUAAUUACUUUUAUACUUAAACCACACAAAGACCUAACAAAGAAAGAGAACUUCAGACCAAUUUCCUUUAUGAAUAUUGAUGUAAAGAUACUCAAUAAAAUUCUUGCAAACCAAAUCCAAAAACACAUCAAAAUGAUCAUCUAUCAUGAUCAAGUAGGCUUCAUCCCAGGGAUGCAGGGAUGGUAUAAUAUACGAAAAUCCAUCAACAUAAUCCACUGUAUAAACAUACUCAAAGAUGAAAACCACAUGAUCAUUUCAUUAGAUGCUGAGAAAGCAUUUGACAAAAUGCAAUACCCCUUCAUGAUAAAAGUCCUGGGGGGCUGGGGAUUUAGCUCAGUGGUAGAGCGCUUACCUAGGAAGUGCAAGGCCCUGGGUUCGGUCCCCAGCUCCGAAAAAAAGAACCAAAAAA
rnacentral:lncRNA from 1 species